GCACUGCUGAGGAGUCCCGGAAUAGAACGAAACGGCCGUCCAGUGC
rfam:Schistosoma rodhaini strain Burundi genome assembly, scaffold: SROB_scaffold0012675